rnacentral:lncRNA from 1 species
UGCAUACACCGUUAUGUAAAUUAUUACCGAGUUAAGGGUAAUUUCUCCGUAUCCCCACAUGCGCUCGCCGCUGCGCCGCCAUCGUGACAUCGUUCAACUUGAAGUUUGCAAUAUGGAAUCAUGCAGCAACUUCUGAGCGAUUGGGGAUUCGCACAUUUGGUGUCCGCAUUUGAAGAUCCGACUUUGCAAUUCUGCAACCUGAUGCUGCCAACAACCUCUACAGUAAAUGGCCUACACUGUCAGAACAUCUGCUUACAUACUGUCCAAAGACGUGUCCAUCAUGGGAGUCAUUGGUGUUAGAGCAGGAUAUUGAGCUGAAGAAUCUCACAUCAGAGCAAAGGAAGAAUUUGGCUGUGCUUGUUCUGCCGAUCCCUUUUACAGGAAAACUCAAGCUUGGAGCAGUACCUAAAAGAUACACAGUCUCAGUCCUACAUCCUUGCUUUGGGAGGGUCAUCUGUUUCACCUCAGCAAUGAGUGUUAUCAUCAAGAGGCCCUGGAUGUGUGUUUUAAAUCGUACUUCGCAUGUGACCUGAAAUAUCAAGACAAGUGCUGCGUGGCAUGGGAAUUCCUAGAGGCUGUGGUUUAUGGGAUCAAAGGCAAUGUGAAGAGCAGGGCCAUCAGGGACUUCAGAGUCUUCUGCUCCUGCAAAGAGUGGAAGAGAAAAAUCAGAUGUGAACAAAUCACUGGAAAGCGUGCUAGGUGAUCUUGCACCCGUGGCAAAGGAUGGAAUCCUUUCCCCAGAAGAGGGGGAAUCUCCAGUUGCAUCAAUAUCAGUGGAUGACGGCCUAAUUGAGGAUGUGAUGUUUGAUAUGAUGGAGAAUACCAUCAGCCUUGGUGAGGUCAUCUUGAAAGAGCCCUACCUUCCAGAAGAAACAAACCAGGAUUUAGAGGACAGAGAGUGAACAAGGUGGACUCCAUCUGGGAGAAACAGAAACUUGGUUUGGAGCAGGAGAGGCUCAAAGUUGAUAAGGAGCAGCUGAAAGUUUCUUAGCAGAUUUCAGUUUCACUAAGUGAACUAAGCCACAAUGUUCAGUUGUUGGUCAGUGACAUAUUAGAGAAAGAAACUUAAGAAGCAGUCAUGUAAUAAAAGCAAAUUAUAACAACAAAUUAUAUUGGUAUAAUAAGAACAAGUUAUUACAUUGAAAAACAGGCUUUGAGAUGCAUGAUGGGGGCAAACAAAUGGACCCUUUUCAACAGUUAUUCCUUGUUAUGCUCAGCACUAAGGUACAUGUCAAGAACUGCAUGAGCAUGCCCAUACUUCAAAACGAAAAAGAGCCAUUUUGUCUGCCACUACCAUGUAUCCAAAGUCUCUCAUUGUAUGUUACUGCACAUGGAAAUUGUAAGUUUGACAUAACCUUAAAUGGAGCUUAUUUCUCUUGAGUGCAAAAACUCAUUGAUAAUUAAGCAUCUCUACUGCCUGUAACACAGUCUGAAUAUCAACCCUGGAUUUACACAAAAAUUUGCAAACAUUGAACAAACAAAACAGUUGUGGUUGGUGUUCUUUUCCUUUCCAUUUAAUUACUGCUUCAAUAGAAU